AACAAAACCAGAUUUGAUUUUUUUUUCUCCCCUUUUUUGGUGGGGAAGAGGUGGGGGUUACACAAAGGAGUGAAAGCAGCCCGAGUCUGUGUAUUGAGAAUUAAUGAAAUUAACGUAAUCCUUUCCAUUAGUGGGCUUUUUAGAAAGGCCCCAGAUUUAGGCUUGAUCUCUGCUGCACCGGCUAAUUGCCCAGGUUAAUCUUAUUAAUGCCAUUGUGUAGAAGUGGUUAGCAGCUCCUAGUCUUGUCUAUUAUGCGCCUGCUUUGGUCGUGUUAGUUCACAUUAGUGGGUGCGAUUUCCUCUGUCUAAGGCUCAGAUUCAUUAUUUAUGCUUCGAACUGCUUAAGAAGCACUUAAAAAAAAAAUAAACUGCCACAUAAACAUGCAACGCCCCCCCACUCCAAUGGUUUCUGUAGCGCGAUUUGAAUCUUGCGUCCCCGGCUCGGAGGACUGAGCGGGCGUUGAAGAAUAUGUGUUUCUCUGAUUUAAGGUUUAUGCAGUGAAGCAACAACGUCUUCACUGAAUUCAGACAGGUAUCACCUUUUGUUUUUAAUACAAGCCAAGAGACGCAAACGUUAAAGACCAGUGCCAUCUCAAAUCCCCGGGUGUGAAUACUUCGUCUGUCACGACUGUCCCUGGGAAUCCACAGGAGGUGAACUGAAUAAGAUUAGACUAUUUACCCCAUCAACUCUCCAUCAAAGAAGGUGAAGGCAGCACCGCGGGACACGAGUGGGCACCGGAGGAGCCGCGACGCUGGCGGAGCACGCACCGCCCUGGCCGGGCGGGCGAUCGGCUUCCCGGAGAGUUUUCUGCACCCCUGACGGAUGAUCCACCAUGCUACAACGUUCACCUUUAUUCCUAAUUUAGAAAUUAUAUUUUCCAAAUAACUUGUCCCCCCAGCGGGGAAGGUUUCUUUUAUUUUGUUUUGGUUUGUUUUUUUUAGUCUGAGUCGUUGUGCCGUGAAACCCCCGGUUUUGAUACCCGCUUGGCGAAACCUGCUCUCGGAGUUUCUCAUUUCCCACGCGCUCUUCGCUAACCUGGCAAACGGAAAAUUGUGUUAAACAAACAAUCAGUAGUCGCACAAUGUCGGGGUGAAAUUGUAAUAACAAAUGAAACACAAGCAAAUUGUGCUGCAUAGUGUUGCUAAGCAAUUGUUUGUUACGGGAGGGUGGUCGCAGCAUGGGUUGAAAGAGGGAUCUAAAGAGGAGCAUAGCGCUGGGCAGAGCAAGCUGUUAGGUAUGAAAUACGGUAAACACGGCGCUGAUUUUCAAUAUUAUUACCCAAACACGAUUUCAUGCAAAGCAAUCACCAUACACAAGUCUAUGAAAAUGCGCUUGUUGAGAAAUCGGACAUAUUUUUUCUUUUAUUUUAAUAUAUUAAAGAACAAUUCCGGGGAUGCAAAAUGCACCCACCGCCUUCCCGGCGGAGUCUCUGACCGGCCCGAGCGGUACCGGGGCUGCCGGCCGGGAAGGGCCCAGGGCACCCCAGCCCAGGUCGGCCAGGCCCGGCCCGGCCGGGACUCGCCGUGGGCAGCGGGUCCGGCUGCGGCUCCCGCCCCACGCGAGGGGCACCGAGGGGUGAACCGGGCGUUUGGGGAUGAGCGGCGGCGAAGGGGCGCUUCGCGGCACAUCUCUUCACUUAGAAAUGCCAUCACCCUGCAGCGCUCACCCACGUUUGUUUCAAAUUGAUUGCAUCAUUGCUUCACCAGGAAAAAAAAAAAGUAUAAAAGUCAUACAAUGCGAAAUUACCGUAAUUUGUUCCCAGAAUAAACUUAUCUUGAACUGAUUAGGAGAGUCAGUCAUUUGAAAACGAGGCAGAAAAGCGGUUGGGUAUUUUUUCUGAAAGCUUCCCUCUAACAAUAUCAGCUUCUAAAGUUUUCAUUCAUGUAAACUUUAUUAAUGAAGAUCUUUUAUUUAAAUGUCAAGAGGAUUUGAAAUUUUUGAGUAAAUUAUGAAGCAUGCAUGUCUUGACAAGUCAUGGGUCAAAUGCAUUUGUGAAAAACUGCUAAAAGAGCAUAUGGUUUUGAAUUUUUCUACAAUGACUAGUGUUUAAAUAAAUUGCUUGUACUGCUUAACUUCAUGUAUAAUUUUGACAGAAAUUGGCCUAUAGCCUUUUGAUAUGUAAACAUUUCAGGCUUUUAUGCGGUAUAAAAAGACACUUGCUUUUUGGGAUCAGCUAAAGCAGUCACCCUGUAAUUCAGAAAACUGGCACCUAACGUUACAUUCUUGCUGCAUUUCAACUUUCAAGUGGCAGCAUAAAGGGGGGAAGGAAAAGGGACAUUUCAAAAGCAAUUGGAAUUAAAAACUGCGAAUGAGGUGGGAAUGUGCCACUCACUGUCUGAUUGAAAUGGAUAAACCUUAGCACUAAGAGAAUUCUCAGUCUUGUUUUCUAAAAAACAACAGAGAAAUCAGUGAAAACAGUCUUCAAGGUAGCACAGACCUGACUCGCAUGUCAAAUUAAUGUCUUAAAACAAAGUCUGUCUAAAGUACAAAUAGGUGUGAUGAAGAAAACCCAGAUAUCCCUUCUGAAUUCUGUCAGCUGUUUCUCCUCUACAAACUAUCUUGGGCUUUAAAAAUUGAAACAGACUUUUAUACAUUGAAUAUUGCAUACAAAGUAUAUAAACAUACCGCUACCCUUCAAACUGCCACUUUGCUAGCUUCAUGUUCACUCGCAUUUCACCAGUUCUUAAGUCUUUUGCAGUUUUUGCUCCAGUAAACAUUCCAUUGACUUCAAUUAGUGUUUUGUUUUGGUGGUGUGUUUUGGUUUUUUGUUUUGGGUUUUUUGGGU